UACGUAGGAGGCGAGCGUUGUCCGGAGUUACUGGGCGUAAAGGGUGCGCAGGCGGCGUGCCAAGUGGGUGAUGAAAUCUCCUGGCUCAACUGGGAGGGGGUCAGCCAAACUGGUGCGCUUGAGGCUCGGCGGGGGGCGUGGAAUUCCGGGUGGAGCGGUGAAAUGCGUAGAGAUCCGGAGGAACACCGACGGCGUAGGCAGCGCCCUGGACGAGACCUGACGCUCAGGCACGAAAGCUGGGGGAG
rnacentral:rRNA from 1 species